AGAUAAUCCGUAAUCAGCCGAAGAGUUUGGUGGUGCAUGAGCAUAAAAACAAUCGCCGGUCGAGGUCUUAACACGUUUGACACUAAUCAGUUUGUUUCAGAAAAUGAAUUUUUGGAAGAAACACAGAUCGUCAUUUUUAAUAGGUGGUUUAGUAAUAAGUAUUGCUGCAGCUUUAUAUCCUAUCAUGAUUCAGCCAUAUUUCCACCCCGAGGGUUGGCGUGAUUUACAGACAGUGGGACGCCAAGGAAUUGACCGUGAGAAAAUUCAACCAGGAGGAAUGAAAGUGUGGACAGAUCCAUUUGACAGAAAAAAGUGAAGUGUUGUAUGAAGUUAUAGAUAUAUCUGACAAUUCCUAGUUUUAAGACAAAAGUGCUGUAUGGUUGUUUGAUAUAUUUAUACACACAUGUAAAUAUGAUAAACAAUAAACUUUGCAAGAGUGGAAGAUAACUUAUGAACAGUGACUACUGGCAAGAGGAUUAAUACUCAGUGUGUUUGUUUUGAGUACACAUUCAAGUUCAUUUGCAACACUGAUGUCACCAUAGUAACAAUUAGAUGCUUGAGGUCAUUGUAACGACAGAUGCUAUUUAAACAUAUUUAUCACUGUUGAUGUCCAAGAAGCAUUUAUGGUUAUAUAUAAUUUUUUCUUUAUCAGACUGGUGUCUGAAAUUAUUCUAAUGAUGGUAGUUACUCUUUGGAUUCAUUAUAUUCAAGUAAUACAUUAACAGUUGGAGGUCGUUAACAAUUAUGUAACACAAAAUUGGGAUUUUAUUUUUUACCCUCCUUCACAAUUAAAGUUUUUAACACUUAAGUGCCAGAAAGGCCACCCCUCUAAAUUUAAAUUUAUAUGGCUGAUCAAUUCCCAAAUACACCUAGCUACCCUGUCGUAAUGCAGGUGCAUGUGUAGGAAUUUUAGCAGGGAAAGUCUAGACUGACAAGCAAUGGUUAUAGGGAGGUUGAAAACAUGCUCGCCAGAAAAUGUAUUGGGGGAGUGGGGGUGGGAUUCAUUCUUGAGUGGUGAGGUUCAUACAGGCACCUGUAAUAACAUAAUUGGCCAAUAAUGUUUGAGUUUCUAUUUGCAUUUAUAUUCGUUUAGCCUGGUAAUAAAUACUGGAUAGAAUUGAGUCAUCAGUUGAAGAACAUAAUAGCAAUAACGGACUGCUUUUUUAACUGGACUACUUCGAUGAAAUGGGUAACCUUACUCUUUCACUUUUUUAAAAAUCAAUAUGUAGCUGAAAAGAGUAUAUAUAUGUAACAUUUUACCUUCCCUACCUAAUUUUAUUUGGCAUGUUACUGAUUAUAUACAAUUUUAUUCAGGGGUAAAGAAAUAUAAGACAGUUGUUUUAAAGACAGACUUAAAUAUUAACAUAAAAUAUUUUAGCAUUCCGUGAUGCCAACCAAAGCAUUAUGUAAUUGUUGAACAGCCUUUUACUUACAUAAGGACAGAUUCAGUGGAAGGUUGCAUACUGUUUAGUGAAUAUUUUGAAUUCUAGAUAAACUUUGUUCCUUUUGGAGAUGCUGCUUUCCUGUCAUUUUGAAAAAUUUCAAUGAGAUCAUGGUUUUGACAGUUCCAAGUUUGUAUCAUUAGAGUAAUAAUAAUAAUAAUAGGGUUGCUUUGAGUGAACUAAGUCAAAUCUGGUUCAUCUUUAUUAUUUAUCUGUUUUUUAUUUUUAUUAUUUUUGAAACUAAUUUUGCAAAAGUCAAUCAUAUUUUAUAAAGUUUACUUUACAUUGUAUUUCUAGUUAUGAACUACUGGCAACAUUUUCACAAAUGUACAAAUCGUAAUCUUUCUGCGUACACUGUCUCUCUCUUAAAAGCGUACAUCAAAUAUGAUUUUAUAAGGAAUAUUUUAUGUUUGUUUCAAAGCAUACACCAGCAUUAACACCCUAACCGUGGCAUAUGUUUUGUACAUUCGUGAAAAUGUUGAUAAUUGUGAAUAGCUCUUUAACUUAAGACUUAAUAAUCCAGUGGUUGAUCCAGAAAAUCCAUUAGGGGGGGGGGGGGGGAGCAAUGAUGCGGUAGAAGGCCACAAACGUUCCUGACGGGAUUUCUUGGAUUCUCCAAUGUAAUAAAAAAUCAAAAACAUAAAAUAAAAAUAUAAUUGUUGCAAAAUUUAGGGGAAGUCUGGGGCCCCCAUUAGAUCCGCCAUUAGUUUGCUUUAGUACUUUAUAUUUAACAGCCACUUAUAAUAUCAAGUCUAAACAAUUAUCACCGUUUUGGGUAAUGUUUGCAAACAGUUACAUGUUGAUACAUUUUUAGCCAUAGUGUCAAAUGACUUUCUUCUUUUCAAUCUUUUUAUGAUUAAAUUCUGACAUAGUCAGAAAUGAAAUGUCACUUGUGUGGGCAAUUAAUCUGAACAUACUGUGUGGAUGCCAUUAUACUGUAUCUUGGAUAAUAAUAAAAAAAUGUUUUACAGGC